rnacentral:rRNA from 1 species
GUGAGGAAUUUUCCGCAAUGGGCGAAAGCCUGACGGAGCAAUGCCGCGUGAAGGAUGAAGGCCUAUGGGUUGUAAACUACUUUUCUCAGAAAAGAAUUAUGACGGUAUCUGAGGAAUAAGCAUCGGCUAACUCUGUGCCAGCAGCCGCGGUAAGACAGAGGAUGCAAGCGUUAUCCGGAAUGAUUGGGCGUAAAGCGUCUGUAGGUUGUUUAAAAAGUAUUCUGUCAAAGAUUAGGGCUUAACCCUAGAUAGGCAGAAUAAACUUUUAAGCUAGAGUUUGGUAGAGGCAGAGGGAAUUCCCGGUGGAGCGGUGAAAUGCGUAGAUAUCGGGAGGAACACCAAAGGCGAAGGCACUCUGCUGGGCCAAUACUAACACUGAGAGACGAAAGCGAGGGGAGCAAAUGGGAUUAGAAACCCUGGUAGUCC